UACGGAGGGUGCGAGCGUUAAUCGGAAUUACUGGGCGUAAAGCGCGCGUAGGCGGUUUGGUCAGUCGAUUGUGAAAGCCCUGGGCUUAACCUGGGAAUUGCAGUCGAUACUGCCUGACUAGAAUGUGGAAGAGGGAAGUGGAAUUUCCGGUGUAGCGGUGAAAUGCGUAGAUAUCGGAAGGAACACCAGUGGCUAAGGCGGCUUCCUGGUCCAACAUUGACGCUGAGGUGCGAAAGCGUGGGGAGCGAACAGG
rnacentral:rRNA from 1 species